CCUCUUUCCUGGAAUCUGAGUACACUGAGCUCAAGACAUGUUCUUCCAAUUUCAUUUUCCCCAUCUUUGCAAAUGGUGCUGAAGCAAGGGGAGAUUGUGAUCGUGGGCAUGUGGCUUCUGGAUCAAGAAUUUCCUAUGAUCUCUAUGUAUGGAUAUGGGCCAUCUCCAGAGGAUCAUUUCACUAUCAGUGGCAUUUGGCAACCAGAACACAGUGAUGUCCCAGUAUUUUGAAAGCCCUGAUGAAAAAGCAAGAGACAAAUAAGGAAGUACAUGUGUGUGAGGGAAGAUGAGAAGAUGGGAAUGAACAGAAGAGUAGGGGUGGCGAUGUGUGGAAGCUCAGAACUGUCA